AAGAAUCUAGUUUAAUUUAAAAUAUUAAUUUGUCAAGUUAGAGAUACAUAAAAAUGAUUUUUU
rnacentral:tRNA from 1 species